CCUACGAGGGGCAGCAGUGAGUAAUAUUGGUCAAUGGACGAGAGUCUGAACCAGCCAAGUAGCGUGAAGGAUGACUGCCCUAUGGGUUGUAAACUUCUUUUAUAAAGGAAUAAAACGAGGCACGUGUGCCUUUUUGCAUGUACUGUAUGAAUAAGGAUCGGCUAACUCCGUGCCAGCAGCCGCGGUCAUACGGAGUAUCCGAGCGUUAUCCGGAUUGAUUGGGUUUAACGGGAGCGUAGAUGUGUUGUGAAGUCAGUUGUGAAAGUUUGCGGCUCAACCGUAAAAUUGCAAUUGAUACUGGCAGUCGUGAGUACAGUUGAGGUAGGCGGAAUACGUGGUGUAGCGGUGAAAUGCUUAGAUAUCACGAAGAAUCCCGAUUGCGAAGGCAGCUUACUAAACUGUGACUGACAUUGAUGCUCGAAAGUGUGGGUAUCAAACAGGAUUAGAUACCCUUGUAGUC
rnacentral:rRNA from 1 species